rnacentral:rRNA from 1 species
UACGUAGGGUGCAAGCGUUAAUCGGAAUUACUGGGCGUAAAGCGUGCGCAGGCGGUUUUUGUAAGUCUGUCGUGAAAUCCCCGGGCUCAACCUGGGAAUUGCGAUGGAGACUGCAAGGCUAGAAUCUGGCAGAGGGGGGUAGAAUUCCACGUGUAGCAGUGAAAUGCGUAGAGAUGUGGAGGAACACCGAUGGCGAAGGCAGCCCCCUGGGGUCAAGAUUGACGCUCAUGCACGAAAGCGUGGGGAGCAAACAGG